rnacentral:tRNA from 1 species
GGGGUAAUGGCAGGGAAUGGCUUUGUUUCACCUGGAGAGCGUGUAUACGGGUUCUCCGUAUCGAGGGUUCGAAUCCCUCCCACUCCGCCA